GGGUUGUGAGGUUAAGCGACUAAGCGUACACGGUGGAUGCCCUGGCAGUCAGAGGCGAUGAAGGACGUGCUAAUCUGCGAUAAGCGUCGGUAAGGUGAUAUGAACCGUUAUAACCGGCGAUUUCCGAAUGGGGAAACCCAGUGUGAUUCGUCACACUAUCAUUAACUGAAUCCAUAGGUUAAUGAGGCGAACCGGGGGAACUGAAACAUCUAAGUACCCCGAGGAAAAGAAAUCAACCGAGAUUCCCCCAGUAGCGGCGAGCGAACGGGGAGCAGCCCAGAGCCUGAAUCAGUGUGUGUGUUAGUGGAAGCGUCUGGAAAGGCGCGCGAUACAGGGUGACAGCCCCGUACACAAAAAUGCACAUGCUGUGAGCUCGAUGAGUAGGGCGGGACACGUGGUAUCCUGUCUGAAUAUGGGGGGACCAUCCUCCAAGGCUAAAUACUCCUGACUGACCGAUAGUGAACCAGUACCGUGAGGGAAAGGCGAAAAGAACCCCGGCGAGGGGAGUGAAAAAGAACCUGAAACCGUGUACGUACAAGCAGUGGGAGCACGCUUAGGCGUGUGACUGCGUACCUUUUGUAUAAUGGGUCAGCGACUUAUAUUCUGUAGCAAGGUUAACCGAAUAGGGGAGCCGAAGGGAAACCGAGUCUUAACUGGGCGUUAAGUUGCAGGGUAUAGACCCGAAACCCGGUGAUCUAGCCAUGGGCAGGUUGAAGGUUGGGUAACACUAACUGGAGGACCGAACCGACUAAUGUUGAAAAAUUAGCGGAUGACUUGUGGCUGGGGGUGAAAGGCCAAUCAAACCGGGAGAUAGCUGGUUCUCCCCGAAAGCUAUUUAGGUAGCGCCUCGUGAAUUCAUCUCCGGGGGUAGAGCACUGUUUCGGCAAGGGGGUCAUCCCGACUUACCAACCCGAUGCAAACUGCGAAUACCGGAGAAUGUUAUCACGGGAGACACACGGCGGGUGCUAACGUCCGUCGUGAAGAGGGAAACAACCCAGACCGCCAGCUAAGGUCCCAAAGUCAUGGUUAAGUGGGAAACGAUGUGGGAAGGCCCAGACAGCCAGGAUGUUGGCUUAGAAGCAGCCAUCAUUUAAAGAAAGCGUAAUAGCUCACUGGUCGAGUCGGCCUGCGCGGAAGAUGUAACGGGGCUAAACCAUGCACCGAAGCUGCGGCAGCGACGCUGAUGCGUUGUUGGGUAGGGGAGCGUUCUGUAAGCCUGUGAAGGUGUGCUGUGAGGCAUGCUGGAGGUAUCAGAAGUGCGAAUGCUGACAUAAGUAACGAUAAAGCGGGUGAAAAGCCCGCUCGCCGGAAGACCAAGGGUUCCUGUCCAACGUUAAUCGGGGCAGGGUGAGUCGACCCCUAAGGCGAGGCCGAAAGGCGUAGUCGAUGGGAAACAGGUUAAUAUUCCUGUACUUGGUGUUACUGCGAAGGGGGGACGGAGAAGGCUAUGUUGGCCGGGCGACGGUUGUCCCGGUUUAAGCGUGUAGGCUGGUUUUCCAGGCAAAUCCGGAAAAUCAAGGCUGAGGCGUGAUGACGAGGCACUACGGUGCUGAAGCAACAAAUGCCCUGCUUCCAGGAAAAGCCUCUAAGCAUCAGGUAACAUCAAAUCGUACCCCAAACCGACACAGGUGGUCAGGUAGAGAAUACCAAGGCGCUUGAGAGAACUCGGGUGAAGGAACUAGGCAAAAUGGUGCCGUAACUUCGGGAGAAGGCACGCUGAUAUGUAGGUGAAGUCCCUCGCGGAUGGAGCUGAAAUCAGUCGAAGAUACCAGCUGGCUGCAACUGUUUAUUAAAAACACAGCACUGUGCAAACACGAAAGUGGACGUAUACGGUGUGACGCCUGCCCGGUGCCGGAAGGUUAAUUGAUGGGGUCAGCGCAAGCGAAGCUCUUGAUCGAAGCCCCGGUAAACGGCGGCCGUAACUAUAACGGUCCUAAGGUAGCGAAAUUCCUUGUCGGGUAAGUUCCGACCUGCACGAAUGGCGUAAUGAUGGCCAGGCUGUCUCCACCCGAGACUCAGUGAAAUUGAACUCGCUGUGAAGAUGCAGUGUACCCGCGGCAAGACGGAAAGACCCCGUGAACCUUUACUAUAGCUUGACACUGAACAUUGAGCCUUGAUGUGUAGGAUAGGUGGGAGGCUUAGAAGUGUGGACGCCAGUCUGCAUGGAGCCGAC
rnacentral:rRNA from 1 species